ensembl:lncRNA
CUUUUUAAUAUGCUGUCUAGGUUUGUCAUAGCUUUUCUUCCAAGGAGCAAGCAUCUUUUAAUUUCAUGGCUGUGGUCACCAUCUGCAGUGAUUUUGGAGCCCAAGAAAGUAAAGUCCUCCACUCUUUCCAUUGUUUCCCCAUCUGUUUGCCAUGAAGUGAUGGGACCGGAUGCCAUGAUUUUUUUUAUUUUUUUUUGGGGGUACCAAAUUACUUUAUUUGAAGGAAUGGUACUAAAGAAAGAACUUAAGUAGAUGUUUUGUUACAACUUAUAGAAAAGAUGAAGGUAACCCAAAUAUGCAUGCACUGCCUUGGUGACCAGGGAAGUCACCCGUGUGGCUGUGGGGAGCCAGCCUGAGGCUUAGCUGUCACUGUGUCCCAGGGUGUGCUUGUCAAAGAGGUACUCUGCCAUGCCCGAUCCAGGGGCCCCCAUCUUGCGCAGGUUGGUUAUGUGGUCACCCAAUUCUUUGAUGGCUUCCACCUGCUCAUUCAGGUAAUGAGUCUCAAUGAAAUCACACAGAUGGGGAUCAUUUUUUUCAGUGGCCAGUUUGUGCAGUUCCAGUAGCGACUGAUUCACACUUCUUUCCAAGCACAGCGCACAUUCCAUUGCAUUCAGCCCAUUCUCCCAGUCAUCACGGUCUGGUUUCUUGAUAUCCUGAAGGAAGAUUCGGCCGCCUCGCUGGUUCUGCAGCUUCAUCAGUCUCUCAGCAUGUUCCCUCUCCUCAUGAGAUUGGUGAAGAAAGUAUUUGGCAAAGUUCUUCAAAGCCACAUCAUCACGGUCAAAAUAGUACGACAUGGACAGGACUUCCCUGGCUCAGAAGGUAAAGAAUCUGCCUACGAUGCAGGAGACCCACAUUCAAUCCCUGGGUCAGGAAGAUCCCAUGGAGAAGGGCAUGGCAACCCACUGCAGUAUUCUUACCUAGAGAAUUCCAUGGACAGAGAAACCUGGCAGGCUACAGGCAAUGGGGUUGCAAAG